AAUCAACGCUGGCGGCGUGCCUCAGACAUGCAAGUCGAACGAUUAAAGCUCUCUUCGGAGAGUGCAUAGAGUGGCGCACGGGUGAGUAACACGUAAGUAAUCUACCUUCGAGUGGGGAAUAACGUCCGGAAACGGACGCUAAUACCGCAUAAUGCAGCGGCAUCGCAAGAUGACAGUUGUUAAAGAUUUAUCGCUUGAAGAGGAGCUUGCGGCAGAUUAGCUAGUUGGUAAGGUAAUGGCUUACCAAGGCUACGAUCUGUAACCGGUCUAAGAGGACGGUCGGUCACACUGACACUGAAUAACGGGUCAGACUCCUACGGGAGGCAGCAGUCGGGAAUUUUGGGCAAUGGGCGAAAGCCUGACCCAGCAACGCCGCGUGAAGGAUGAAGUAUUUCGGUAUGUAAACUUCGAAAGAAUGGGAAGAAUAAAUGACGGUACCAUUUAUAAGGUCCGGCUAACUACGUGCCAGC
rnacentral:rRNA from 1 species